ensembl:snoRNA
AGGCGAUACUGAGCUUGCUAUAGCAAGACAGUCUAACCUAUUCCAGUGUUCUCUCUUGGUGUGAGACAAGCUGUUACAUAGACUUAAACAGU